GAUGAACGCUGGCGGCGUGCCUAAUACAUGCAAGUCGAGCGAACGGACGAGAAGCUUGCUUCUCUGAUGUUAGCGGCGGACGGGUGAGUAACACGUGGAUAACCUACCUAUAAGACUGGGAUAACUUCGGGAAACCGGAGCUAAUACCGGAUAAUAUUUUGAACCGCAUGGUUCAAAAGUGAAAGACGGUCUUGCUGUCACUUAUAGAUGGAUCCGCGCUGCAUUAGCUAGUUGGUAAGGUAACGGCUUACCAAGGCAACGAUGCAUAGCCGACCUGAGAGGGUGAUCGGCCACACUGGAACUGAGACACGGUCCAGACUCCUACGGGAGGCAGCAGUAGGGAAUCUUCCGCAAUGGGCGAAAGCCUGACGGAGCAACGCCGCGUGAGUGAUGAAGGUCUUCGGAUCGUAAAACUCUGUUAUUAGGGAAGAACAUAUGUGUAAGUAACAGUGCACAUCUUGACGGUACCUAAUCAGAAAGCCACGGCUAACUACGU
rnacentral:rRNA from 1 species